UCCUGCUUCCGGAGACUUGGGGGGAAUCGGAGCCAUUUUGUGUGGUUCCUGGGAGGGAGACGGCCUCUCCCUGCUAUUGGAGCCCAGGAAAGUGAGCCUGUACAGUCUGCAGUAUCAUCAAAUAGCAGGCAGAGCUACCAGAGGGAAUUGUCUAAUCUCUUCCAACAAUCCAGGCAUUAGUCUAAAGGAGCUGAAGAACUUGACAAAAGUCAUCAGAGGAAGGAUCUAGUGCAUUGGUAGGAAGGUAAGAGCCAAGGGAGUCCUAUCAGCCAAUACAAAGAUUCAGAACUUCCCUGCCCUCCUGCCAGUAGUGGGAUAACCUAGGCAGUUUGGAUAGAUUCCCUUCACUCACCUGUUCCCUUGUCUCACAAAG
rnacentral:lncRNA from 1 species